GCCAGUGUGGCAUAGUGGUUUGAGUAUUAAAUUAAGAAUCUGGAGACCAGAGUUUGAUUCUCUGCUCAGGCA